rnacentral:rRNA from 2 species
CUGAGGAACUCGAGGAAACUCGGUUUGAGAAUUGCGACGCGAAAGCAAGCUUUUCUUUAUCCUCGGAUCUAUGAUUUUCAAUAUACCCCAUAAAAAGUAUCUGAAUGUUGUAACGGGCCUCCGUGCCUUUAAAAUCUAAUACAACUUUCAACAACGGAUCUCUUGGCUCUCGCAUCGAUGAAGAACGCAGCGAAAUGCGAUAAGUAAUGUGAAUUGCAGAAUUCAGUGAAUCAUCGAAUUUUUGAACGCACCUUGCGCUCUUUGGUAUUCCGAGGAGCAUGCCUGUUUGAGUGUCAUGAAAUUCUCAAUCUUUCUCCCUUUUGAAGUGAGUGAGACUUGGAUUUUGGAAGUUGCUGGUUCUCACGAGUCAGCUCUUCUUAAAUGUAUUAGCAGUCCUUUGCUGAUCGUCAUUGGUAUGAUAAUUAUCUAUACCAUUGAUAAACAGUUWCCMUCGCGGAAUGGAUCUGCUUCUAAUCGUCUUUCAUAGACAAUUUUGACAACUUUGACCUCAAAUCAGGUAGGACUACCCGCUGAACUUAAGCAUAUCAA